rnacentral:rRNA from 1 species
UUGGAGGGCAAGUCUGGUGCCAGCAGCCGCGGUAAUUCCAGCUCCAAUAGCGUAUAUUAAAGUUGUUGCAGUUAAAAAGCUCGUAGUUGAAUUUCGGGAUCAGUUGGUCGGUCGUGCCUCGGUACGUACUGGUCAAAUUGAUUCCUACCUUCUGACGAACCACGAUGUCAUUAAUUUGGUGUCGCGGGAAAUCAGGACUGUUACUUUGAAAAAAUUAGAGUGUUUAAAGCAGGCUCGCGCUUGAAUACAUUAGCAUGGAAUAAUGAAAUAGGACGUUUGAUUCUAUUUUGUUGGUUUCUAGGAUCGACGUAAUGAUUAAUAGGGAUAGUUGGGGGCAUUAGUAUUCAAUUGUCAGAGGUGAAAUUCUUGGAUUUAUUGAAGACUAACUAUUUUGAAAGCAUUUGCCAAGGAUGUUUUCAUUAAUCAAGAACGAAAGUUAGGGGAUCGAAGACGAUCAGAUACCGUCGUAGUCUUAACCAUAAACUAUGCCGACUAGGGAUCGGAUGAUGUUAAUUUUUUAAUGACUCAUUCGGCGCCUUACGGGAAAC